rnacentral:lncRNA from 1 species
GAGUGUCCCAAGACCUUGCUGGAGGGGACCACGUGUGCAGGAGUGCGCUCCCAGGGAGAGGGCUGGCUCUCGCCCCGUGGAACGGCAGCCACUGCCUGCCCCCUCGUGCUCGGGGGAAGAGACAGCGGGGGCACCGUGGCCCUGAGACAACAGGAGCGCUGUGUCCCUCUGCAUGGACCUCCUGGGUGAGGUGGCAUCCCUGAACCUCCCACUGGUCUGCAGCCUCCAGGUUGCUGGUCCAGACAUCCGCUAUUUCCCUCUGAUCUUAAAGCAGCAGUUUGG